rnacentral:lncRNA from 1 species
CACUAGCAGUAGGGAGUCUCCCAUCAAUCUCUUACUUAUCUGACCAGCAGUGAUCAGUUUAGAUUUGGGUACCUGAUGAUUUGAGAUCAACCCAUACCCUAAUCAAUUAAAGAUUUGCAUGAGAUGUAAACUAAAAGAGACUUAAAUAAAUCUCCUCGUUAAUAUUAAGUCAUAGGAUCUUCCAUCGUUGUAGAGUGCCAUGCCCUCUCUGAUGUUGAUUAUUUUUUGCUGGAUAUAGUGAUUCAGUUGUAUCAUGAGAGAAGCAACCACUCUAUUGGUAUGAGAUGCCGUGAGGUGGAGAUGGGGUUGGGUUCAAUAACUGUCAGAUGAGGGUCUGAAUGACGGCUUCACUCACGCUCAAUGGUAGAUCUGACUUAACUAAGGAAUGAGAUCAGUAACUGUGAGGUGAGGGUUCAGGAUCUAGAGAUUAGGUCUACGAUAAUUUACUUGAGAAGCAUUGGACAAGAGUUGUCCAUCUAUUGAUUGACAUGUUUAUCAAUAACUGUUAGGUGAGGUAGCAUGCCAAUCAGGGGACCGCAGUAUCUGCUAGGAAUCCUUACUCAUGAAGAGGUUCUCGUUUUCCCACCC